CAAACAUGGGGGCAAACUUUUUGUCGUCAACUGGUUGCACUUGUCUGCACUGUCUAGCACAGAAAAAAAAAAAAAAAGAACAUUAAACUGUGGAUGUACUCGAGGCUGAGAAGAGGGAAUCAGCACGGUUUAUACAUAAAUAUGUCGGCGACCUUAAGAUUAUGUCUUUAAACCCCUCACACAACAGGAUCAGUGCCUUCAUUACUUGUGAAACUGCUCACAUUUCUGGAUAAUGAAGACAAGUGAGGUGUGUUCAGUCCUCAUCUCUUCAAAGUGCUAUUAGAAGUGCGAUAAAGCGGUCGCUCUGGGCCUGGAUCAUGGCCUCCAAGUCCUCCUGCCUCUUCAGGAGCUCCAUAACAUCCGACACAGAGUCCUGGAAGAACCAAAAGACCACCAUGUUUUACUCCUCCAGCUCACAGACACGCUCCCCCACCUAGGAGGAGGACGGGAAAUCAAACAGAGGAAGAUUGGGACUUCAGGCCUGCCGGCCUGAGUUUGUUUGAAUCAACCCAAAGUGAGAUGCAAAGGGGACCUACAUGAGUUCACUCCACUGGGAUAAGUAUUUCUGCACGUCUUCAGCCUGGCCCAGUCUAGUGCGGCGCUGGGAGGCC